GCUAGCGUCGCUCCGUCCUGGGCUUUGCUGGGGAGCUGUAGUUGGACUUGGGUGGGGGAGGGUCCCGUUAAAGCAGCAGUUCUCGACCUGUGGGUCGCGACCCUCGCGGGGACCCAACGAUCCUUUUAUAAGGGUUGCCUGAGAUCUUCGGAAAACACUAAGAUUCAUAACAGCAGCAAAAUUACAGCUAAGUAGCAACAGAAAUUUAUGGUUGGGAGUCACCACAAUAUGAGGAACAGUAUUAAAGGAUCUCCGCAAUGGGAAGGUUGAGAAUCACUGCUUCCGAGACACCCAAGCGCCAAAGCCGGGGAAGUGGGUGGAGAAAUGGGUGUUGGAAGGGACAGGAUGGGGAAGAAACCCGGAAGACUUAGGGAUGGUUAGGGUCAUUUUAAUUAUCUCUAGAAGUCGGCCGGUUGGUAUCAACGGAGAAUUCAUUUCGAGUUCGCGGAAUGAAACUCGCUUGCGCCCCAGCAAGUCUAGCCUCAGUCCACGCAGCUCUACCCUCACCCCUCUUCCGGCGCCACCACGGCGAACCGACCUGGGGCUCUAAGCGACAGACGCCCUGUGUGCGUUGUUUCUGGGAUCGGAAGAGGCAGCCGAACUCUACGCGUGAUUCCCCACCACGGUGAACAGGGAUCCCGGCGGACCUCAGACCUACAUCCCAUCUACUCCUGGCUCUCUAACCUCAACGCUGUUGAGCAUGAACUUUGUCCCUGGCCUUUGCUGCUGUAAUGCUGUUAUGAACAUUUGCUUAAGAGUUUGUCUACACACGGCUCUUCAAAUUCUCCCAGGUUAGUAACCGAGGAGGAGAAUUUCUGUGUCAUCUACUUUCUGGCUAUUUUUUCUGUCUUUAUUGGAAAGAUUGUCUAUUUAGAAUUUUGGGUUUUGUUUUGUUUUCCUAUUUAAUAUUUGUUAUUGAGAUGUAGGAAUACAUUUCGGGUAUUUUCUCCUGUGUAUAUUGCUUUUAUUUCUUUUGGUGAUAGCCUUCAUGGCAUAGAAGUCAAAUUCAUUACUUUCUCUUGUGUUUGUACUUUUGGUGUCAUAUCUAAGACCAAUGAAGAAUUUUUAUACUGCUGUAGUAACUAACUAUAGGCAUGGAGGGGCAGCUGGACAAUAUGAUAGGUACCUGAGACAGGAGGAUCACAUAAAACCCAAGAGUCUGAGACACCUGAAGUCAAUAUAGAGUCCCUGUAUCCAAAAUAAAAUUAAGAUGGAGAAAUGUUAAGGGAAUUUGUACUUUUUAGUUUCAGAAUUGAAGGUAACUGGUUGGGGGCUGGAGAGAUGGCUCAGAGGUUGAGAGCAUUGACUGUUCUUCCAAAGGUCCUGAGUUCAAAUCCCAGCAACCACAUGGUGGCUCACAAUUCUCCGUAAUGAGAUCUGAUGCCUUCUUCUGGGGCCUCUGAAGACAGCUACAGUGUACUCACAUAUAAUAAAUAAAUCUUUAAAGAAGAAGAAGAACAUAACUGGUUAUGAGCUGAACAAACCCCACGAUUUGUGCUGCGUAGUUCAGCGGCUGAAAUGAGCCACAAAAUAGGAGUAAUGUACCUUAAAGGGGCUUGGGGGAGACUGCUCUGGCUCACUCUCCUCUGAAACUUGGAAAGGCAGUAAAACACAGCGAGCAAAGGCAAUGAAAAAAAAAAACCCUCUGACCAUAAUGUUCUCCAGGGAAAUUAAAAUGCUGUGAAUUCAAUAUUUUUUUUUCUGGGGAAGCUGGAAAGACGGCUUAACCAGUUAGUGCUGAUGUACAGCCACGGUGACCCGAGUUCAGAUCCCAGCAUGUGGGCGUGGCUGAGUGUGCCCAUGACCCUAGCACUGUGCUGGCCUGAAACAGGAUUGCUGGGGUUUGCUGGCCUACAGCCAAGCUACUGAUAAACCCGCCUCAAGGGGAUGAGGCAGAGGCUGGAAGAGCAGGACACCCAGAGUCCUCCCAGGAGCACCUGAGGCGGCGUGUGCAUCCUUACAUCUGCCCCCGACACGCAUAAUAGGUAAGUAAAUAAAUAGGGUUUGAUAGGAAUGACUCUAGCACCUGAGAGGUAAGGACAGGACGAUCAUCAACAUCAACCACACCAACUCUGGAACACACACAGUUAUGUUAGAAACUACCUAUUUUGAGUUAGGAUGCUCCAAACAGCAGGAUUGGUGGAGCCAUGAUGGUAGCACUUUGGUUAAAAUUAUCUGUUUAAAUUCUUCUGGAUUUUUUUUUUUUUUUUAAGAUGGCACAUGUUAUCUAAAUAUACUGGAUUUGAUGACCAGUUCCUGCAUGGUGCUCUCAAUCAUUUUAACUCCAGUUCUAGGGGAUCUGAUACUUUUUUUGUUUUGUUUUGUUUUUUUGUUUUUUAAGACAGGGUCUCUCUUAUAGCCCUGGCUGUCCUGGAGCUCACUCUGUAGACCAGGCUGGUCUCGAAGUCAGAAAUCCGCCUGCCGCUGCCUCCCAGAGUGCUGGGAUUACAGGCGUGCGCCACCACCGCCCGGCUGAUACUUUCUUCUGAUGUCUGGGCACAAACAUACAUGCAGGCAAACAUAAAGCAGGAUUUUAUUUAUUUUUAAGUAACAGGGUCUCACUAUGUAGCCCAGGCACCCUCCCUUCUGUUGGGAUUAAAAGAGUUCAUGGUCAAGUGAAAAGACAUUAAGUUAACAAACAUAUAAAAAUGUAUGCACGGUUUGAAAUGUAAAUUAUUCUUAGAACACUUUCAGUGGGAGCUGCAUUACCCUAUUAGUGCCUUAAUUUGAGAGAAGUUUUUUACUGCCACGAGUACAGACUUUUCAGAAAACAGAUUUUACAAAAAAUUGUUUUUCCCCCAUUGGUAAUUGAUUUAAUUUAAAAUAUAGAGGGUUUGGGGGCUUUUAUAAAUUGAAUAAAACCGUUAUACCAAACUACCUGCUACAAUAGUGAAACUAUCUGCAAAAACAUAUACAGUUGUACCAAUAGUAAAGAAUAAUGAAAUAUAUCCAUAAAGUUUUUCAUAGGAAUGACAUAGGAAUUACCAUAUAAAUACUGUUCAACUCUCCUCUGGUAACAAGAGUUGAUGUCUAUGGGCAGUGUGAUUUAUUGUUUGUUUGUUUGUUUGUUUUAAACAACUCAGUAAUUUAUAAUAGCUUUGCAGUAAUAUGUAUCAAAUAAGCACUAGAAAAACCAAUCCUUCUCUAGGGUGAUAUGCAUGUUUCAAGUGGUAUUGAAAGUCGCACUGAUGGAUAUGUAGUAAUAAACAUAUCUAUUAUUAAUAUGCUAAUGCCUGUGCUCAUUUAAUGAGAAAUAAAAAAAAGAUUCAUGGUCA